GGCAAUGCCUUUCAAAGGAGGGCAUCAAGUGAACCUCAAGUUUAUUUAAAGCGUAAGCUUCCUUGCAGGUGUGUAUAAUUAUACCCCAACUCCAAAAUGCGGUUCCGAUGAGAGGGCGUGCCGGGUGCACGCGGGCAGCAGCUUGUCCUGGGAGGUGUACUAGCUUCCUGUGGCUGCAAGUUACUACAAACUGGGUGGCUGGAAACAACAGGAAUUUCUUCUCUGACGGUUCUGGAGGCCAGAAGUCUGAAAUCAAGGCGUUGUCAAGGGGGCCGCCAUUCGAUCCACUACGUGAGGCAGUAAGAAGCAUAUUCCCGAAGGAAUUGUUGAAAUAUUGACGGACUUCAGAGCUCCGUGAGCUGGGCGGACUCACAUGGCUGGUGUCCAUGCUAUCCAACUGUCAAUGGCUCAAAUCUAAAGCCAAUUUGUUUCGAGUACAACUUGUGGAGUCUAUGUUCCAGAAAGUCUGAAGAUAUUUAGAAUCUAGGAAUCAAAAAUUCACAUUAAAAGAUAUGUAUUCUCUCCCAAGUGUUCAUUUUUAACUGUCUCAGGUAAGUGCCACAUUUAAUAUGAAUUCCUUCAACAUCUACCUUGGGCACAGGAACCAGCUCCAGUGCUAAGGGGAGCCAGGAUGACCGGUGACCAUUGUUCUUUCCUUAAGGAAUGCCUUCUUAGGGGAGGAGCCAAGAAAAUCCCUGGCAGGGGGUGGGGUGGGGGAUGGGGAUGCCCAAAGUCCUCUUCAUGCCCCCUACAUGGCCCUGACCACACCUCAUGGAGAUUCUCUCUGUCUGUGUCUCUCUCCCCCUCUAGCUAUGGCCUCUCACGGAUGGAAUCUUCUUUUGUCUUUGCAUCUUCCAUACCUACCUCAUGGCUUGGUAAAGAGUAGACAUUACUUCAUUUCUUUGCACUCUGAUGAAGUUCAAAAUCAUGCAAAGGCAUCAGUGACUAUGUCUCCCAAAGAGCUUCGACAUCAGACCCCUGGGUCUUCCCAAUCUCUGCCCUGCUCAACCGCCUCAAUAGCUCCCAUGUGCUCUUGGCCUUGUCUCGUUCCAUGAAUGAUCGCGUCCAUCACAGUAAGUUACAGCUUGUUGCUUCUGUGCCUGUCUCUCCUGGAGCUGAUAGAAGUCAGAGGUCGGCACUUGUCCCUCUGUUGUGCUCAGUACCCAGAACACGCAUGAUCUGCAAAGUUUGCCACCAAACAGUCGUGUGGGUGGAGGAGCAAAUCCAUAAGGAGGAAGAACGUGGCAGGGAGAGAUGAGAGGAAGCAGAACCUAACCUCCCACCAGGAGGGCUGGAUGGCUGGGCCCUGAGCAGCUGCAGGCAGAGUUGGGGUUCUCCACGCUCUUGGGGAGCGCACACAUCAAGAGUGGAUGGUUUCCUACAGGAGGAUGCACCACUGGUUUCUCCAGCCAGGCCGCUUACCCCCUGGGAGAAGCUUGUGCAGCCGACAGCUGGGAAAUAGCGCCUAACUUGAGGUCUGUGGUCUCUGGGCUGCUUUGGAUGGAAUAAAGAGGAGUUUUAUAAAAGGCGUGUAGCUCAAAUGUGGAAAUGUGGCUGUGAAGGCAUGCUCCAGUUCAGGGUUUCCAAAACUUCCCUGAUUAUGAACAUUCCCCAGGAUGCUAGCUGAAUGCAGAGAUUAACAGUUCCUGGCAGUUGGUCUGGAUUGGGGCCUGAGAACAGGGAACAUUUUGAUGUUUGUUUUUAAGGAGUUUCUCUGUGAGAUCCAUCCUCUGGGAUCUUUGGAAGAUACCACUCUGCUUCACGAGAAAGCUCUGUCCCCUUCAUGCUCAGUCGCUUUCCUGUCUGUAUGAGAGACACCCCAGGACUAUGGGUCCUCAUCAAGGGAAGAGUGUCCUGGAGGACUCUGGCCAGUGCCUUGGGAACCCCACUGUUCUGCAAGUGUGGGGACCUCAGUGACUCAUAUCCCUCAUGGCCACAUCAGCCCUCACUCCUUUUCAGAUAGGUGUCUUUGAAGAGUACAAUAAAAGGCCAAAAGUCUAGUGUGUGUGGGGUCCCCAGUGUGGUAGCUUGGCCACGGUUGUGUCCAACAUCAGACUCUCUGGAAAGCAUGGAUGGAAAGAAGCCCUGGUGCUGGGGGACUGCAAAGGCUGCCCGCCCCUCACAACCUGAGCCCUGCGUCCCUCCCAGGUCCUGUUUGCUCCAGCAUCGCAGAGAAGACAGGCGAGCCCCUUGGGCAGAAUUAAGAUCAUAAAGUUGAACCAUUGCAGAACUGACCUCUGAUAAAACAUAGCCCCCCUCCCUGAAGAAUCCCAGCAGAUUGACACAUCCAUACAGAUCCGUCAGCUCUGGCUGCCGUAACAAAAUGCCAUGGGCUGGGUGGCUUCAGCAAUAGACAUUUAUUUCCCACAGUUCUGGAAACUGGGAAGCCCAAGAUCAAGGUGCGGGCAGAGCUGGUGUUUGGUGAGGGCUCUCUGGCUGCCUUCUUGCUGCGUCUUCGCAUGGUGGAGAGAGAGAGACAGAGAGAGAGCUCUGGUCUCUUCCUCUUCUUAUAAGGACAUUAAUGCCAUCAUGGGGGCUCCACCCUUAGGACCUCAUUUAACUCUAAUUAUCUCCCAACAGCCCCACUUCCAAGUACCAUCACUGCGGGGAUUAGGGUUUCCACAAAUUAAUCUGAGGGGCACACAAUUCUGUCCAUAACAUCAUAUUACUCAUACCAUCCACAGCUGCAUGAAGGCAGUCCCUCUCGGCGUGUCCACGAAGCACAUCAGAGGACUCGGACUGAGUUUAGAGCCGUGGCCCACAGUAUUUGUUGCACAUGUUUAUCUGAUGAGAUGCCCUUCCUUCUGGUCUGCAGAGGUCUUUCCAAGUUGCUCGUCUGAUGAGCCUGUGGAAUUGCAAUGGCUAAACAUGUCACCAUGCCAUCUCACCAGAAGGCUCUAGAGAAUCCACUAGGAGUUAAUUCAGAGUGGUAGUUUGGUGUGAGUUUCUGGCCCCGUGGAAAGAGGCCAUGCCCUUGCAACAGUAGACUGUCCAGUAGAAGGUUGUGGACUUGAGUGGAGCUGCAUUGAACAGGGGCAAAGACAAGGAACCUGCCUGAAACAGCACAGCAUCCAGCACCCAGGUUGGAGCACUGGGUUGGGAAUAAGACAGCACCUGUGCAGGGACAGCCAGUGGCCCUGGGGCUGCCCACCGCCAUUGGCGGAGACUUCCCAAACCCACAGUGAGGCUGCAAAUGUCUGCAUGCGAGUUGCUGCCCAUCGAAUGAUGAGCUGAAGGUGAAAAAUGAGGAGACUCUGGUUUUUGUCUUCUUGGAUCCUUCUAAAAAGUUGAUUGAUUGGUUAUUGGUUGAUUUCAGAAAGCUCCCGGGACUUUUGGCAAGAUAAGAAGUGAUGAGGACCCUUGCCUUAGUGGUGUCAGUUAGACACUGAACGGAGCAAAGUGCACCCAGAGACACCUUCCUUUUGUCGUGCAUCAUAGGAAGAUGUUUAGAUGUUGUGUUAUGCACUACAGUUGAGCUGGAAGGAAGCUUCGAGCACAUUGGUCCAACUUCAGUGACUUCCCAUGGCUUGUUGGAUGAAGACUGAGCUUGACCCUCAAGGUCUUGAGAUGCCCAGCCCUUGCCCACUCUCCGCCCCAUUCCUUGUUCUCUGUGCUCAUCACAGUGUGAUUUCUUGAAGACCCUUCUCCUCCUGCCCCAGGGCUUCUGCAUGUGCUAUUGCCCCUUCCCAGAGAGCUCUCCUUCCUUCUUUUUUUGUCUUUAUAAAUCUUCCUCUCUCUCCAGCUCUCCAGCAACCUUGACCUCUCACAGAAGCCCUCCUGACAGGUCAAGCCUCACGUGCCCUCACGUCAUGUACCUGGCUCUCAGCACUCGUCUCAGCUGAAAUUUCCUGUUAUUCGUGGGACCAUUCUGCUUCUCUCUGUCUCUCCUGGCAGACUGGGAAGAGCCACAUGAAUGAGAACAGGGUCUGCUUUAUUCCCUUGUCCCCUUAGCUAUGCGACUGCACCUAACACUCAACAGGUAGUGGUGACAUGAACAAAUAAACUCCCUCCGGUCCCAGGUGAGGACACUGAGAGUCACAGCGAUAAAAGAUGAAGUGACCUGUCUCUGGCUCACAGCUAACCCUCACACCAACCUGGGUGUAGACACGAUCAUUACCUUCCUCCAUUUACAGCUGAGGCUCAGAAAAUAUGACGGUCACUGCCAGUGCCCCACCCAGAUCCCCCUGGCCCUCCCGGAGCCACCUGCAAUAGGGGAUGGCUCCCUGCCUGUCCCUCACCUCAGGUGUCCUCUGGCCACAUGAGCCGGCUGGAUCUACUCGCAGGCAGGACAGAAAGCUGGGAGUUAAGGCUCAGGGAGCAGCCCUCGAUCACUGAGGGGUGGAGGUUGGAGAAUCGAGGGCUCCCUUGCCCUUCAGGAGGCCAAUCUGAGGCGAGUUUUCCACCCGGCCUUUCCCAGGGCCCCUUGUGUGACUGAACCCCACAGAGGCAACCUGCUCAUACCACAUUCCCUUUUAGCUUUCCUUCCUGACAAAUGUCCCCACCCCCUCACAGUACUUCCUGGGAUCGCUUCCAAAAUCAACUGUUUGCACCUACAAUCCUGGAAACCCAAGCGAACACAGAGAGAGAAGAGCAGGAACUUGCCCAAGGUCAUUCAACAAGCUAGCGUUGGGAUCCAAGCCCCGGGUUCACCAUCACGCCACACAGGUACCUGCCACCUGACUCAUGCCACAUCCUCGUAAUAAGUAGGUCACUGCUAGUGGACAGAGUAAUAGCCCCCAGAGAUGUCCCCACCUUGAUCCCCAAAGCCUGUGAACGUGUUAACUUACCAGGGAAAGAGUGGAAUUAAAGUUACUAACCAACUGACUUUAAGAUGGGGAGGAUACCCUGGAUGAUCCAGGUGGGCCCAGUGAUCACGAGGGUCCUUAUAAGUGGAAGAGGGUGGCAGAGCAGGAGAGUCAUGGGGAUGCGGCCAUGAAGAAGGGCACAGACAGAUGCCCCAUUGCUGGGUUUCAAGAUGGAGGAAGGGCCUUGAACCAAAGAAUGCAGGUGGCCUCUAAGAGCUGGAAAAGGCAAGAAAACAGAUUAACAGGUUCUCCUCCAUAGCUUGCAGAAAGGAAUGCAGCCCUGCCAGCACCUUGAUUCCAGCCCAGUGAGACCCGUGAAGAACUUCUAACCUACAGAACUGUAAGAGAAAAUAUUCAUGUUGUUCAAGCCACUACAGUUGUGGUCAUUGGUCACCCCAGCAACCGGAAACAAAUACUACCCUUAAAAAAGUUAGCACUCCAUCCCCAGCUGUGAUUUAUGAACUAGGCUCGGAUUUAUUUUUAUUCUUAUGACUUAUAUGUCAAUUAAACCGCAGAAGAUCUUGAAGACGUUGUGGUCCUGGGUGGACUGAUUUUGUUUUGAAAACAUACACCUUACACUGUUAAGCAUUUACAAGGCAGGCUCUCAGAAUGCUUUGCCGACACCGGAAGAGGAGAGCUGUGCGCGAUUACCCGAGGGCUGAAUUUGCCUGGCUCCAGUUUGAUGAGUUGUUUCACUUCCGCCUGUUCUGAGCACUGAAACCACAGCAAUAUCGCCACCCUGAUACCAUCAAUUUUCAAGUGCGCGGUGAAAAUGCAUGUAAAUAAUAAACCGCCCGUGCUUCUGAACAGCUCCCACCUGUGCCUUUGGAAAACAUUCAGAGUGCAGUAAACAACUAUGAGAAGGGGAAAGAAACAGCAAAUGACGACUCAUCAAGGAACAGAUUUUUAUUAAGACUUUAGAAGAAUUUUUCCUAGAGGACAGUGGCUAAUGUGGUUGCCUAAUUGUUGGGGGACCCAAAAAGUAGUAACCUUGAGAAAUUCAAUCCAAGUGGAGAACACCUUACCUACAUGGUGAAACUUAAGGAAGCUAAAAGUUAGAGCAAAGAGGGUGAGCCCAAGAACGUCUUCUCGGGGACACACAUGGGGGGCAUAUUCAGGGCCACUGGUUUUAUGAUGCUGAGAAAAUCGAGAAUGAAUUGACUGCCCCUCCCUGAGCUCUUUCCAUGAGGAGAGGAAUUCAGAGAUGCUUAGAGGAAAUUGUCCCAUGGGGAAUGGGUGGCAGAGAGUCUAAAGAAAGGAAUGGAAGAUUCUCACUGGGAUGUGGUCCUUAGAAACUGAUUCCAUUCCAUUAAAUAUCGUUUUAAUGACCAACCAUUGUGUUCUAGAGAUUAUACUUGGUAUUUGAGAGAGAAGAAGGAACCAGGCCUUGCCUGCUUCCCAAAGCCCCAAAGCCUUAAUGGCCUGGAGGAGGCUACAGAAUGAAAACCAAAUGCAUUACGAGACAAUGCCAUACGCCCCGUCUCUGAAAGUGGACAGAGAUGUGGAAGGAGCUCAGAGGAUGGCACGGUUAGAUCUGGGUGCCUUGGAAAGCUCUCUGCAGCAGGUGCUGUUGGAGUUGCUGGCCAGAGGAAACCACCAAUCCAUGUGGUAUUUGGCUGGCAUCCUCAUCUCUUGUCAUGCAUCUGUUCUUUCUAUGGCAUUAUUCAUGCGGCCACUUCCUUAAAACCUGUUUUUCACUUCUCCCUGGGCAAGAUGUCAUAUUCUCUGGGUUAUUGGCUAGAGUGUAGGGUUAUCAGGUGACAUGGCAAUAAAGGCUUUGUGCCCCACCUUGGGCAUCCAUGGGGACCCCUGUACGGUGUUUUCUGGUUGGAAGGUUAAGUAGACCACCUCAGGCAGUGGUCUCAAGGAGAUAGGAGAAGGACCAGUUGGAAAGGGCAAUUAUUCAGAGAUAUAAACUAGAGCAGGGGGAGUAGUGGAAGCCUGGAAGGCUGUGUAGGGGUGAGGGGCCGACGGAAGCAGGAGAAGCAUGUUCCAUGAUCUGUGUGAAGGACACAGUCAUAAGAAAGGAUGUGCCACUCAGGAGCUGUGGACGAGGAUCUUGCUAGGAGGCCACACCCAUCUGGCUAAGGUUUGUGCCUACAGUGGCCCUAAGGAUAUCACAGUCUGUCCUCAUCAGCUCGGGCUGCCAUGACAAAAUGCCACAGAUGGCAGGGCUUAAACAACAGAAAUUUCUCUCUCACAGUUCUGGAGGCUGGAAGUCUGAGAUCAGGGUGUUGGCAUGGUCAGGUUUUGGGGAGAGCCUGCCUCCUGGCUUGUAGAUAGCUUCUCACUGUGUCCUCACAUGGUGGAGAGAGAGGGAGACCGCAAGCUCUCUGGUGUCUCUUCCUAUCAGGCCACUAAUCCCAUCAUGACCUUAUUUAAACCCAAUCAUCUCCCAAAGGCCCCCUCUCCAAAGACCGCCACAUGUGGGGUUAGAGCUUUCAUAUAUGGAUUUGGGGGGACACAAUUCUGUCUGUAGCACAGUCCAAAGUGGUCGAGGUGAACGACUGAGUGCACAAAUGUUCUCAUCGUCAACCUUGGAGAGAAGGUGGGAUCAUAGCUUGCUGGCCAAUGGCACGCCCAUGAAGAUGACUGGUGGCAGUUUGGGGACUGUCGGCAGCAGGUCUUCCAUGCUCCAGGAUGCUACCUGGAGACGAGACUGGUACCCAAGG
rnacentral:lncRNA from 1 species